rnacentral:rRNA from 1 species
AUUGAACGCUGGCGGCAGUCCUAACACAUGCAAGUCGAGCGGCAGCGGGACCUUCGGGUCGCCGGCGAGUGGCGGACGGGUGAGGAAUACAUCGGAAUCUAGUUUUUCGUUGGGGAUAACGGAGGGAAACUUACGCUAAUAACUCAUACGACCUACGGGUGAAAGGGGGGUACCGGAAGGCCUCCCGAGAUUAGAUUAUCCGAUGUCGUAUUAGCUAUUUGGCGGGGUAAUGAACCACCAAGCCGACGAUCGGUAGCUGGUCUGAGAGGAGGAUCGGCCACACUGGAACUGAGACACGGUCCAGACUCCUACGGGAGGCAGCAGUGGGGAAUAUUGGACAAUGGGCGCAAGCCUGAUCCAGCCAUACCGCGUGGGUGAAGAAGGCCUUCGGGUUGUAAAGCCCUUUUGUUGGGAAAGAAAUCCUGUCGAUUAAUACUCGGUGGGGAUGACGGUACCCAAAGAAUAAGCACCGGCUAACUUCGUGCCAGCCGCCGCGGUAAAAC